rnacentral:RNase_P_RNA from 1 species
CUAGUGGUAAUCUCGCACUUGGAGCACCCGUACGAGUACCUGGUUACUCUGGUUUGUUUGCUUCGGGAAGGUCUGAGAUAAGGUACGCAAAUAUGCCUCAGCAAGGCAGCUCUUUGAAAAGGGCGUUCGCUACCAGCAAUUCAUCAGUUGUGGAUGCCGCGGUGUCCUGCUGUAACCGGGGAGGAUUGUGCUCCGUUUGGAGCAUUUUUUUUCCAGUUUCGGUUUCGGACACUGAUUGAAAACAGCGGAUUGCCAGCCAUUUGAGUCAAAUAUGCGAGCUACUAUCGGGGAGUAUCGGUUGCCUGCAAUUGGUACUUUCUGGGGUAGAACUCAAUUCAGACUAAUCUAUCACUAG